GAUGGGCUUGCAUCCGUUCCCUGGCUAAUGACUUCACAGAUAUCGAUGUUCUCUUCAACUGUGCCGGGUACGUUCACGCAGGCAACAUUCUGGAUACAACAGAAGAACGAUGGGACUAUAGUUUUGAUGUGAAUGUGAAGAGCAUGUAUUAUACUAUCCAAGCCUUCAUUCCCCAGAUGAUCAAGAACGGUCGUGGUUCCAUCAUCAACAUGUCGUCAGUAGCAAGCACCCUGCGAGGCAUUGAGCGUCGGUGUGUAUAU